UGAGAUGGCCUCGCGUCCGAUUAGCUGGUUGGUGAGGUAACGGCCCACCAAGGCGACGAUCGGUAGCCGGACUGAGAGGUUGAACGGCCACAUUGGGACUGAGACACGGCCCAGACUCCUACGGGAGGCAGCAGUGGGGAAUAUUGCACAAUGGGGGAAACCCUGAUGCAGCGACGCCGCGUGGAGGAAGAAGGUCUUCGGAUUGUAAACUCCUGUUAUUGGGGAAAAGAAGGAUGGUACCCAACAAGGAAGUGACGGCUAACUACGUGCCAGCAGCCGCGGUAAAACGUAGGUCACGAGCGUUGUCCGGAAUUACUGGGUGUAAAGGGAGCGCAGGCGGGUAUGCAAGUUGGGAGUGAAAUACAUGGGCUCAACCCAUGAACUGCUCUCAAAACUGUGUAUCUUGAGUAGUGCAGAGGUAGGCGGAAUUCCCGGUGUAGCGGUGGAAUGCGUAGAUAUCGGGAGGAACACCAGUGGCGAAGGCGGCCUACUGGGCACCAACUGACGCUGAGGCUCGAAAGUGUGGGUAGCAAACAGGAUUAGAUACCCUGGUAGUCCACACCGUAAACGAUGAUUACUAGGUGUUGGAGGAUAGACCCCUUCAGUGCCGCAGU
rnacentral:rRNA from 1 species